rnacentral:rRNA from 1 species
UGGGGAAUCUUGCGCAAUGGGGGAAACCUUGACGCAGCAACGCCGCGUGGGUGAUGAAGGCCUUCGGGUCGUAAAGCCCUGUCAGGUGGGAAGAAACAUGUCGGUGCUAAUAUCACCGAUGUUUGACGGUACCGCCGGAGGAAGCACCGGCUAACUCCGUGCCAGCAGCCGCGGUAAUACGGAGGGUGCAAGCGUUGUUCGGAAUUACUGGGCGUAAAGCGCGUGUAGGCGGUCGGGCAAGUCAGAUGUGAAAGCCUUCCGCUCAACGGAAGAAGUGCAUUUGAAACUACCCGGCUGGAGUACGGGAGAGGAGAGUGGAAUUCCCGGUGUAGAGGUGAAAUUCGUAGAUAUCGGGAGGAACACCAGUGGCGAAGGCGGCUCUCUGGUCCGAUACUGACGCUGAGACGCGAAAGCGUGGGGAGCAAACAGGAUUAGAUACCCUGGUAGUCCACGCCGUAAACGAUGGGCACUAGGUGUAGGAGGUAUUGACCCCUUCUGUGCCGAAGUUAACGCAUUAAGUGCCCCGCCUGGGGAGUACGGCCGCAAGGUUA